UGACGAAAGAUGCCCUGGUGUACAG
rnacentral:piRNA from 1 species